rnacentral:rRNA from 1 species
AAAAUGGAGAGUUUGAUCCUGGCUCAGGAUGAACGCUGGCGGUAUGCUUAACACAUGCAAGUCGAACGGUCUUUUAGGAGACAGUGGCGGACGGGUGAGUAACGCGUAAGAAUCUACCCUCAGGUC